UACGAAGGGGGGCUAGCGUUGUUCGGAAUCACUGGGCGUAAAGCGCACGUAGCGGAUGUGCCAGUCAGGGGUGAAAUCCCGGAGCUCAACUCCGGAACUGCCUUUGAUACUGGGUAUCUUGAGUAUGGAAGAGGUAAGUGGAAUUGCGAGUGUAGAGGUGAAAUUCGUAGAUAUUCGCAGGAACACCAGUGGCGAAGGCGGCUUACUGGUCCAUAACUGACGCUGAGGUGCGAAAAGCGUGGGGGAGCAAACAGG
rnacentral:rRNA from 1 species